rnacentral:rRNA from 1 species
GACGAACGCUGGCGGCGUGCUUAACACAUGCAAGUCGAACGUGAUUUUUGUGGAAAUUCUUUCGGGAAUGGAAAUGAAAUGAAAGUGGCGAACGGGUGAGUAACACGUGAGCAACCUACCUUACACAGAGGGAUAGCCGUUGGAAACGACGAUUAAUACCGCAUGAGACCACAGAAUCGCAUGAUAUAGGGGUCAAAGAUUUAUCGGUGUAAGAAGGGCUCGCGUCUGAUUAGCUAGUUGGAAGGGUAAAGGCCUACCAAGGCGACGAUCAGUAGCCGGUCUGAGAGGAUGAACGGCCACAUUGGAACUGAGACACGGUCCAAACUCCUACGGGAGGCAGCAGUGGGGAAUAUUGCACAAUGGGGGGAACCCUGAUGCAGCGACGCCGCGUGAGCGAAGAAGGUUUUCGAAUCGUAAAGCUCUGUCCUAUGAGAAGAUAAUGACUGUUAUCAUAGGAGG